GUGCUCGCUUUGGCAGGCAGCACAUAUGUUAAAAUUGGAACGAUACAGAGAAAAUUAGCAUUGCCCCUGCACAAGAAUGACUACCAAAUUCAUGAGAUAUUCCAUAUUUUU
ensembl:snRNA U6 U6 spliceosomal RNA